GGUGUCGCGGCCCAUACAAAUUUGAUUGCAUAUGAGAAAUGCAGUAUAGCUAGGGAAUGACCCCUAGGUCGUCUCUCAAGGACCAAAAGUGGUUCGAGUAUUAGGUCUAACACGAAGUGGGGGGGGUUGUGAAAGGUUGUUUGUGGUGAAUGCGGAAAUUUUAAAAUGAAAUUAAAACAGUAAAAACGAAAAUUCACGCUGGAACUAGGCAGCUCUGACCUUUGUUCAAUGUUUUAACCAUAACUUUUUCUACAGAGCUCUAAAUGACAUGAGGUUUUUUUUCCUGGAAAGUAGACUCAAUUAUCUUUCAUUUGAUAUAUAAAACGUAGCAUUUGGAGCUCUGGUGUGGUUGCAGUUAUUUUUUUAAAAUUGAGUCCAGAGAGUGAAAAUGCUAAACCAAAUACUAGACUAAACAAAUAUCUAAGCACAGUUAAAUUAAAUGCAAAAAUAAAUUAAAGAAAUUAAAAACAACUAAUCCUACAAUGCAAAUUAAUUUAAAACACAAGAAAUAAAUAACACAAACUCCUACUAGCAAUUUAUAUGACCAAUGCAUCUACUAAUGAAAUUGAAAAUUCCAAUUGGUAUAAAAAUACCCUCCAGCCG
rnacentral:lncRNA from 1 species